GAUUUUGCUUUUUCCACUUGGUCCUGCGGUUAUAAAACCAGAUUUUUACUUGGGUUUCCGUCAGGCUGAGAGACAGUGCGAGAAGAUUGAGCCUCUCACAGACGGACAGAUAGCGCGUGGUUUGAAACUUGUUUUCCAGAGCUACCAGCUGUUCGUGCGCGACUCGGUUUUGCACAGCCAUGUGCGGCGGCGUUUGAGUCGUCUUGUGUCAUUUGCGGCCAAGUGCUUUGUUUUAAAAGCGUUCAUCUUAACUUUAUGACUCAAAGUGAUCAAAUUCUAGUGUUGACUAUUGUGAGAGCAAAUGCAGGUAAAACUAACUCGACACCAGUUUAACCGUAGCAUUAUUUUACCUUUGGCCUUAGAAGUAAGCUAACACGUCUGUGGCACUAUCGAAGUCGAUUUAGUCUACACCUGGCUGAGUCGGUCAAUCUGGAGCCUAAAGUGAAAUCUUUUACCGACGGUCGCAGUUUAGCUUUUGUAGCUGAUCAGCAACAUUUGUGGAAAAGGACAAUCUAGUCUUGACUCGGGAGCGCCCAUUGGAUUACACUUUGGCCUAAUCCUGUUUGUGUCAUUUAUGUGGUUUUCAUUUGUAUAAAGGUUAACGAGAUGGUGCAUACCAUGGAUAUGCUCCUGGGCGAGUUCCACGAUUACCAGACUGCGUGGGAUAUCCCCUGAUGGAUGACGAGCUAUCCAGGAUGAAUAUAUACUGAAGACUCCGUUGCCAUGUCCCUGGCAUACGUAAUGAGGCGAGUAACUUGCCACGAGGGUGUCUGCCACUCGCCACACUGGAGCAUGUUUUGAAUACAAGGAUUGUUGGUGCAUAGGAUGUUCCUCUGGCUUUCUUGGCAUGUGCAGUAUAGAAGGCCUCAAGGUAUGGGACCUUUGGUGAGUCUUAGGCCCCGACGGGAGUCUCUACUGCCUCAUGGUGGCAGUCACACUCAUAAGGGCGUAAAGAACUAUUUUACAGACGGUCGCUGUUCAGUUGACCCGUAGCUGUAUCGGCAACAUUAAGGAAAGACUUCGUGGGAUUUCCCCUGAUGGAUGACGAGCUAUCCAGUCUUAAGGAUGAAUAUCUACUGAACACUCCGUUGCCAUGGCCCUGGCAUGCGUAAUGAGGCGAGUAACUUGCCAUGAGGGUGUCUGCCACUCACCAAACUGGAGCACGUUUUGAAUACAAGGAUUGUUGGUGCAUAGGAUGUUCCUCUGGCUGUCUUGGCAUGUGCAGUAUAGCAGGCCUCAAGGUAUGGGACCUUUGAUGAUUUCCCUUCCGAGGCUGUGGGUUCAUUUCAAGUUACUGAAGCCACACCCCAACUGAAAUAAAUAUAUUUGGGCUUUAAAUGGUUGUCUUGACUUAACUUGACAGGCAUGCAUUUCUGCAUCGACCCUUAUCAACUGUUGAUUCUGUUUUGAUUCCUUUAUUUAACUUGAUUAGGUGCUCUAUCCAAUAAAAGGGUGAACAGAUUUGGUGCAGGUCAGUUAG